GUGAGUAUACUUUACAUGUGGGGAGAAUGUAAGCAAUUUGUGACCAGAGGCAUGCUGUGGCAGUUUAAAAGCAUGACUCCAAAAUGCUUUAUUACUCCUCCCAUUGAGAAGGAGGUUUAUGUUUUUUUCUCCUUAAAUUCAGGCUCUUCGAUAGCUUGACCAAAAGUAAAUGGCUGAAGCGAUUCUCCACCAGUUUCUGGAGCCAGGGCAUUAAAAAUGGUGGAUUUGAGUUCUUGUAUUUCGUGAUUGCCCCUGGGACCUAACUACCACGCUGUGAGAAGAGAAGACCCAGCAGCCCGUGGGGAGGCCCAUAUAAGAGGAAGCCAAGCCCUCAGCCAUCAAUCAGCACUAAUUUCCUAGUGCUGUGAGUGACCUGCUUUGGAAGUAGAUCCUGCAGUCCACAAAUGUUUAUGGUGUGGAGAAGUGAAGAACUGAUCUUGCUGAGUCCUGCUCAAAUUGCAUCAUUAUUCACCAUAGCCAAGUCAUGGAAGCAACCCAAGUGCCCAUCAAAUGAUGAAUGGAUAAAGAAGAUGUGGUACAUAUAUACAAUAGAACACUACUUAGCAAUAAAAAAAACAAAAUCAUCCCAUUUGCAACAACAUGGAUGGACCUUGAAGGUAUGAUGUC
rnacentral:lncRNA from 1 species